rnacentral:rRNA from 1 species
AUUGAACGCUGGCGGCAUGCUUUACACAUGCCAGUCGAACGGCAGCGCGGGCUUCGGCCUGGUGGCGAGUGGCGAACGGGUGAGUAAUGCAUCGGAACGUGCCCAGUAGUGGGGGAUAGCCCGGCGAAAGCCGGAUUAAUACCGCAUACGACCUGAGGGUGAAAGCGGGGGACCGAAAGGCCUCGCGCUAUUGGAGCGGCCGAUGUCGGAUUAGCUAGUUGGUGGGGUAAAGGCUUACCAAGGCGACGAUCCGUAGCUGGUCUGAGAGGACGACCAGCCACACUGGGACUGAGACACGGCCCAGACUCCUACGGGAGGGCGCAGUGGGGAAUUUUGGACAAUGGGGGCAAACCUGAUCCAGCCCUGCCGCGUGCGGGAAGAAGGCCUUCGGGUUGGAAACCGCUUUUGUUCGGGAAGAAAUCCUCUGGGCUAAUACCCCGGGGGGAUGACGGUACCGGAAGAAUAAGCACCGGCUAACUACGUG